GACGAAGGGGGCUAGCGUUGUUCGGAAUCACUGGGCGUAAAGCGAGUGUAGGUGGUUGUCAUAGUCAGGCGUGAAAGCCUUGAGCUCAACUCAAGAAAUGCGCUUGAUACUGGGCAGCUAGAGGACCGGAGAGGAUAGUGGAAUUCCCAGUGUAGUGGUGAAAUACGUAGAGAUUGGGAAGAACACCAGUGGCGAAGGCGGCUAUCUGGACGGUUUCUGACACUAAGACUCGAAAGCGUGGGGAGCAAACAGG
rnacentral:rRNA from 1 species